GACGAACGCUGGCGGCGUGCUUAACACAUGCAAGUCGAACGGAAAGGCCCUGCUUUUGUGGGGUGCUCGAGUGGCGAACGGGUGAGUAACACGUGAGUAACCUGCCCUUGACUUUGGGAUAACUUCAGGAAACUGGGGCUAAUACCGGAUAGGAGCUCCUGCUGCAUGGUGGGGGUUGGAAAGUUUCGGCGGUUGGGGAUGGACUCGCGGCUUAUCAGCUUGUUGGUGGGGUAGUGGCUUACCAAGGCUUUGACGGGUAGCCGGCCUGAGAGGGUGACCGGGCACAUGGGGACUGAGAUACGGCCCAGACUCCUACGGGAGGCAGCAGUGGGGAAUAUGGCACAAUGGGCGGAAGCCUGAGGCAGCAACGCCGCGUGCGGGAUGACGGCCUUCGGGGUGUAAACCGCUUUCGCCUGUGACGAAGCGGGAGUGACGGUAAUGGGUAAAGAAGCACCGGCUAACUACGUG
rnacentral:rRNA from 1 species